rnacentral:rRNA from 1 species
ACGGGAGGCAGCAGUGAGGAAUAUUGGUCAAUGGGCGAGAGCCUGAACCAGCCAAGUCGCGUGAAGGAUGAAGGUUCUAUGGAUUGUAAACUUCUUUUAUUCGAGGGUAAAGUGACGGACGUGUCCGUUAUUGCAAGUAUCGAAUGAAUAAGCAUCGGCUAACUCCGUGCCAGCAGCCGCGGUAAUACGGAGGAUGCGAGCGUUAUCCGGAUUUAUUGGGUUUAAAGGGUGCGUAGGCGGGCGAUUAAGUCAGCGGUGAAAGCGGGUGGCUCAACCAUACCAAGCCGUUGAAACUGGUUGUCUUGAGUGUAAACGAGGUAGGCGGAAUGUGACGUGUAGCGGUGAAAUGCUUAGAUAUGUCACAGAACCCCGAUUGCGAAGGCAGCUUACCAGCAUACGACUGACGCUGAGGCACGAAAGUGUGGGGAUCAAACAGGAUUAGAUACCCUGGUA